rnacentral:lncRNA from 1 species
GGGUUUAGUUCCUUAUUUGCGCCCCUUUCCUUUUUACUCUCAAACGAAAAACACAACAUCAUCUCCACUCUCUAGCCACUCAUCCACCCUUGUUCCUUCAUUGAAGAUCAGUCAUCCACCUUCAUCUCUGCAGGUAGUAUGUAAAGGGGAAUUCCAUGUUUUUUCCAAAGACAACCAUCAAAUGUUGAAUCAUCAUCUUCAAGUAGUAAACCGCUGAAAAUAGAUAUGGAUAAUCUUCCAUGGACUCCUUCCGAGAGAUUAUCGAGGAAUCUGGAAAAGAACUGAAGUCGAUAAGGUGCAGUGUCGCACAUGGAAGAUGACUAACCAAGAACCUUAUGAGUAAAAGAGAAAUUGAUUUAUGAUUUAUGAACGUGAAGGGCCCUUCAAAAUCCCAGUUCUUUGGGUUCAACUUUAUCCAGCAUUCGUUUAUCUAUUUGAUUGAUUUGUCACACACUUCAUGUGUUUGACGAAAUGUCUCAAUGAAAUUUCACACAAUUCGACAUAAGGGGAACCACACUAGCAUGGACCAAGCAUGGAAGGCUAACGGGUCAAGUUGAGGCAAGGAAAAUGAUACAAACACGGAUGCAUAUGGUAAGUGAUUUCCGCAAUCACUUCUUAGUUGUUUACGUAGAGUUAUGUGCUAGUUAAUUAAGUAUGAUAAUUGAGAACAAAUAAGAAUGGGUUGUAUGAAACUGAUGAUUUCCACUAAGUAGAUGUAACGGGUCAUAAAUGAGGUCUUAAUGUUAUAACGGAACGAAGAGUAAGGAAUGGCUACGGUAUGAUAACCGGGUAACGGGUAGAAUUGCGCAUAAGUGCGCUAAUGGGUAAACGGAAGUACGGAUAAUGUAAAAGUAUUAUGGCUACAACGUUCAUGUAAGUUUUGGGCUAAAACGAAUAUGUUGUUUGAUUAAAACAUGAAUGGGUCGAAUAAUUAUGCAUAAGUAAGGUAGCGGUAAUGAAAUUCGUAAAGAUUAAGGACCCGGGGCAAGGAUUCUUAGUCUAAAAUACAGGGAAAGGUUUUACGGACAAUUAGAAACAAGUUAUGUUGAUAUAUGCAUGAACGGGUCAAAAUUUGGUAAAAGGGUAAUAAGCCGAAGGCUUAAAAGUCAUGAAGUUAGGUAGUCCAAAUAUUGGAUUUUCACUCCAUGGAAAAUUAAAUUACGGUCGCGUAGGAAAAAGAAUCGGGUAAAACGGAUCAAAAACGAGAAAGUUAUGCUCGUUUCCGUGAAAUCGAGUCGUGCUGAGAAUUAUACAGCACCAGCUGCAACAUUCUGUCAAAACUAGGCCGUGGCGUAGCGCGACGGGGAAGGCCCCAGGCCGUAGCGCUACGCGAGCGGGUGUCAGUUUCGCGAAAAUCUUUUAUUUUAACCGUUGAUGCAUUGCGAACCCGUCUGGACCGUUUUUAAACGCGUAUAAGCUAAGAAUGACUAAUUUAUUCCUUGUUUUAGGAAGUGUAGACACGUAUGGAGGUAUGCAUGUAUAUAUGUAUGAAUAUAGGUUGUAUGUAUGAAUGAAGGUACGUUUGGAUGUAUGCAAGUAGGUAUAUAUAUGAGCGUAUGCACGUAUGUAGGCAUACGUGAAGAUAUGAAUGUAUGUUUGAAAGUAUGUAUGUAGGUGUGUAUGUAGGUAGUGUGUAUAUGUACGCAAGUGAGUAUGUACGAAUGUAUGCAUGUGUGUAGAUAUGUAUGUAGAUAUGUAUGUAAUGAUAUAGAUGUGGGUAUGUACGUAUGUAUGUUUAUAAGUAUGUGAGCAAGUAUACGCGGAUAUACGAAGGUAUGUAUGUGAGUAGGCAUGUAUGAGUUAGGUAUGUUGCAAGUAGGGAUGUAUGUGUAUAUAUAUGUAUAAUGCUAUGGGUGUACGUAAUGAUGUAAGUAUGGGUGUAUGUAGAUAUGUAUGUAAUGAUGUAGAUGAGUAUAUAUGUGGGUAUGUACGUAUGUACGUAAAUGGUUAUGUGUGAACAUAUAAAUAUGUAUAAGUAUGUAUGAAGGUAGGUACGCAAGUAUCCAAUGAAAUUGAGUACUAACGAUAAUAUUAGCGUGCCUGGUGAAUGAAGUGUAACGCAGGUACAGCGAGAAAGUCUCACCACGGAUUGUAUGAUCAGAUGGAAAGCUGGGAUGUAAAGAGUUAACGGAUCGAAAAGUAAACGUGAAUAAAUCUUGUAUGUUUAUAAUGUGUACUAAUGUUAUGAAUUUUAUGUGGUGAGCGCAGGUAGUACGAGUCAUGUGGAUCAUCAGGGAAUAGAGAUCGAGGAUCGAGUCACUAGUGAGAUUGUACGGAUCGUUGGUGUAUGUAAUGUAGUAAACUCAUGUUAUAUUUUUAAUCGUAAAUGAGUCGAUUGAUGACUUUCUGCGAAAGAGUUAUGUUAAAAAUGAAAUUUUAAGUAAGUCAAGGUAUUUAUAAGGAAAGAAAUUUUAUG